AUUCAUACCUUGCAAGGGAAAUGCCAUGUCGUAAAAAUGGUUUUCCUAGGGAGAGGCUCAUCCAUUGCACUUCAAGUAUGUUGCUGAUCCCUAUGAUUUCACCAAAUGUGGAAAACUCAACUGCAUAAUUUGUGUUAAUGGGGGAUUGCUCUUGUGAUUUCCCUUG
rnacentral:snRNA from 1 species